rnacentral:rRNA from 1 species
AAUAGAUACCCGGGUAGUCCACGCCGUAAACGAUGAAUACUAGGUGUAGGAGGGUCCAACCUUCUGUGCCGCCGUUAACACGUUAAGUAUUCCGCCUGGGGAGUACGGUCGCAAGAUUAAAACUCAAAGGAAUUGACGGGGGCCCGCACAAGCAGCGGAGCAUGUGGUUUAAUUCGAAGCAACGCGAAGAACCUUACCUAGACUUGACAUCUCCUGAAUUACCGGUAAUGCGGGAAGCCCUUGGGCAGGAAGACAGGUGGUGCAUGGUUGUCGUCAGCUCGUGUCGUGAGAUGUUGGGUUAAGUCCCGCAACGAGCGCAACCCUUAUUGUUAGUUGCUACCAUUAAGUUGAGCACUCUAGCAAGACUGCCGGGGUUAACUCGGAGGAAGGUGGGGAUGACGUCAAAUCAUCAUGCCCCGUUAUGUCUAGGGCUACACACGUGCUACAAUGGCGAGUACAACGAGAGGCAAAGCCGCGAGGCGGAGCAAAACUAUAAAACCUCGGUCCCAGUUCGGAUUGUAGGCUGAAACUCGCCUACAUGAAGCCGGAGUUGCU